CGGUGGCUAGAACUGCAGGAGGGGCGGGAGAGGCGGAGAACCUUGCCGGCGCACGCAAGGAUGGAUCCCGCCUAGCGCUCCACAUCAGAUCGCCACCGUUCUUGGUAUUUGACCGGCGACGCCACCUCCCGCCGGUCUUGUACUCGAGUCUGCAUCCUCUCAGGGAAUAACAGAGAUGUCCAAGUUACCAUGAGGUCAAGUUUCUUCUUCUACAUUUGAUCGGUAGUUAUUUGUGUUGGACUGCAGGGCAUCAUCCACCCAUCAUUUUGAAAUGUACCUGCAGCUGCUAAUCGGCAAGUAUGAGUUUGAACAUGAUGUAUGCGAUGCCUAUGUGGUCUUGUUUUUGCAACGGCAAUGCUUCCAUGUAAUCUGAAUUUAGUACUUUUGUCCAGUCAGGGACACGUCUAAUGUUAGGUAAAUGGAACUUGUGAUGGGCUUCAUGUUAUUUAAAUCAACGUGUGUAAUUGUUAUUUAGAUGGGCUUGUAGUAUUUUUGUGACCUGAAUCGAAAGUGGCUUCGUGUUAUGACUGAAUCUGAAGUGUCAGUUCAAAGUUGACGUGUGGCCUAUGACAUAAAAAAUCAGAUCUUUGCUAACGUUUUGUUGAUUUGC